rnacentral:rRNA from 1 species
UACGUAGGGUGCAAGCGUUGUCCGGAAUUAUUGGGCGUAAAGAGCUCGUAGGCGGUUUGUCGCGUCGAAUGUGAAAACCCGGGGCUCAACUCCGGGCCUGCAUUCGAUACGGGCAGACUAGAGUUCGGUAGGGGAGACUGGAAUUCCUGGUGUAGCGGUGAAAUGCGCAGAUAUCAGGAGGAACACCGGUGGCGAAGGCGGGUCUCGUGGGCCGAUGACUGACGCUGAGGAGCGAAAGCGUGGGGAGCGAACAGGA